UUUAGCGCGGUGGUCCCACCUGACCCCAUGCCGAACUCAGAAGUGAAACGCCGUAGCGCCGAUGGUAGUGUGGGGUCUCCCCAUGCGAGAGUAGGGAAC
rnacentral:rRNA from 1 species